rnacentral:rRNA from 1 species
GAUGAACGCUAGCGGCAGGCCUAAUACAUGCAAGUCGGACGGGAUUGNGGAGCUUGCUCUUCAUGAGAGUGGCGCACGGGUGCGUAACACGUAUGUAACCUACCUUUGUCAGGGGGAUAGCCUCUCGAAAGAGAGAUUAAGCCCGCAUAACAUUAACUUAUGGCAUCAUAGGAUAAUCAAAUAUUUAUAGGACAAAGAUGGGCAUGCGGAACAUUAGCUAGUUGGCGAGGUAACGGCUCACCAAGGCUACGAUGUUUAGGGGAUCUGAGAGGAUGACCCCCCACACUGGUACUGAGACACGGACCAGACUCCUACGGGAGGCAGCAGUAAGGAAUAUUGGUCAAUGGACGGAAGUCUGAACCAGCCAUGCCGCGUGCAGGAAGACGGCCCUACGGGUUGUAAACUGCUUUUGCAGGGGAAUAAACCUUCGUAUGUAUACGAAGCUGAAUGUACCUUGAGAAUAAGGA